rnacentral:rRNA from 1 species
GACGAACGCUGGCGGCGUGCUUAACACAUGCAAGUCGAACGGAAAGGCCCUGCUUUUGUGGGGUGCUCGAGUGGCGAACGGGUGAGUAACACGUGAGUAACCUGCCCUUGACUUUGGGAUAACUUCAGGAAACUGGGGCUAAUCCCGGAUAGGAGCUCCUGCUGCAUGGUGGGGGUUGGAAAGUUUCGGCGGUUGGGGAUGGACUCGCGGCUUAUCAGCUUGUUGGUGGGGUAGUGGCUUACCAAGGCUUUGACGGGUAGCCGGCCUGAGAGGGUGACCGGCCACAUUGGGACUGAGAGACGGCGCAGACUCCUACGGGAGGCAGCAGGGGGGAAUAUUGCACAAUGGGCGGAAGCCUGAUGCAGCAACGCCGCGUGCGGGAUGACGGCCUUCGGGUUGUAAACCGCUUUCGCCUGUGACGAAGCGUGAGUGACGGUAAUGGGUAAAGAAGCACCGGCUAACUACGUG